rnacentral:rRNA from 1 species
AGAGUUUGAUUAUGGCUCAGGAUGAACGCUGGCGGCGUGCUUAACACAUGCAAGUCGAACGAAUUCUUACCGAUCGCGACUUCGGUCAAGAGAGGUUUGAAGUGAGUGGCGGACGGGUGAGUAACGCGUGGGUAACCUGCCUUACACCGGGGGAUAACAGAGGGAAACUUCUGCUAAUACCGCAUAAGACCACGGUACCGCAUGGUACAGAGGUAAAAAGUUCCGGCGAUGUAAGAUGGACCCGCGUCUGAUUAGCCAGUUGGCGGGGUAACGGCCCACCAAAGCGACGAUCAGUAGCCGACCUGAGAGGGUGAUCGGCCACAUUGGGACUGAGACACGGCCCAAACUCCUACGGGAGGCAGCAGUGGGGAAUAUUGGGCAAUGGGCGCAAGCCUGACCCAAGCGACGCCGCGUGAGUGAAGAAGUAUUUCGGUAUGUAAAGCUCUUUAAGCAGGGAAGAUAAUGACGGUACCUGCAGAAUAAGCACCGGCUAAAUACGUGCCAGCCGCUGC